rnacentral:rRNA from 1 species
UCUGUUGGUAGUUUUAAAAAGUCUUACCUGCCCACUGAUAUAAAAAAUAAAAAAUUUAAGGGCCGCAGUAUUAUGACUGUGCAAAGGUAGCAUAAUCAUUAGGUUUUUAAAUGAGAUCUUGUAUGAAUGGUUGGACAAAGGAAAGGCUGUCUACAUAUUUAGUAUUUGAAUUUUACUUUUAAGUGAAAAGGCUUAAAUAUUCCAGAGGGACGAUAAGACCCUAUAAAGCUUUACAUUAUAAUUAUAUUUGGUUAAAUUUAGAAAAUAAAAAGUUGAUAUAGUUGUUUGUUAUACUGGGGAGGUAGAAGUAGAAGUUUAAUUAUCUACUAUAGUUAAACAUUGAUUUAUGUUGUAAAUUGUAGAUCCUAAAUAUAGAUUAAAAGUUUAAGUUACUUUAGGGAUAACAGUAUAAUUUUUUUUAAGAGUUCAUAUCGAAAAAAGAGUUUGUAACCUCGAUGUUGAAUUAAAAAAUCUAUAUGGUGUAGUUGUCAUAUAAGAAAGUCUGUUCGACUUUUAAUUU